rnacentral:rRNA from 1 species
UACGGAGGGUGCGAGCGUUGUCCGGAAUUAUUGGGCGUAAAGAGCUCGUAGGCGGUCUGUUGCGUCCGCUGUGAAAACUCGGGGCUUAACCCCGAGCCUGCAGUGGAUACGGGCAGACUAGAGGUAGGUAGGGGAGAAUGGAAUUCCCGGUGUAGCGGUGAAAUGCGCAGAUAUCGGGAGGAACACCGGUGGCGAAGGCGGUUCUCUGGGCCUUACCUGACGCUGAGGAGCGAAAGCGUGGGGAGCGAACAGG